GAUUGACCUCGGAUCAGGUAGGGAUACCCGCUGAACUUAAGCAUAUCAAUAAGCGGAGGAAAAGAAACCAACAGGGAUUGCCUCAGUAACGGCGAGUGAAGCGGCAACAGCUCAAAUUUGAAAUCUGGUCCUUUCAGGCCCCGAGUUGUAAUUUGUAGAGGAUGUUUCGGGCGCGGCGCGGGUCUAAGUCCUUUGGAACAGGGCGUCAGAGAGGGUGAGAAUCCCGUAUGCGACCCGUGGCCAACCCCAUCUGAAACCCCUUCGACGAGUCGAGUUGUUUGGGAAUGCAGCUCAAAAUGGGUGGUAAAUUUCAUCUAAAGCUAAAUACCGGCCAGAGACCGAUAGCGCACAAGUAGAGUGAUCGAAAGAUGAAAAGCACUUUGGAAAGAGAGUCAAACAGUACGUGAAAUUGUUGAAAGGGAAGCGCUUGCGACCAGACCUGCCCGCGGGCGAUCAACCCCCGUUCUCGGGGGUGCACUCGUCCGCGAUCAGGCCAGCAUCGGUUUGGGCGGUCGGAUAAAGGCCUUGGGAAUGUAGCUUCCUCCGGGGAGUCUUAUAGCCCUCGGUGCAAUGCGGCCAGCCCGGACCGAGGACCGCGCUUCGGCUAGGAUGCUGGCGUAAUGGUCGUAAGCGACCCGUCUUGAAACACGGACCAAGGAGUCUAACAUCUAUGCAAGUGUUUGGGUGUGAAACCCAUGCGCGGAAUGAAAGUGAACGGAGGUGAGAACCCUCAAGGGCGCAUCAUCGACCGAUCCAGAUGUCUUCGGAUGGAUUUGAGUACGAGCAUAGCUGUUGGGACCCGAAAGAUGGUGAACUAUGCCUGAAUAGGGUGAAGCCAGAGGAAACUCUGGUGGAGGCUCGCAGCGGUUCUGACGUGCAAAUCGAUCGUCAAAUUUGGGUAUAGGGGCGAAAGACUAAUCGAACC
rnacentral:rRNA from 1 species